GUCAGCAGCCAUAUCAACCCUGCAACUCACAACUGGCAGCCCACUGAAGCUCAGCAGGUGUGAGCCUGGUCUGUACCUGGAUGGAGACCUCCUGGGAAAAACUAAGGUUGCUGCUGGAA
rnacentral:rRNA from 1 species